rnacentral:rRNA from 1 species
AGAGUUUGAUCCUGGCUCAGGACGAACGCUGGCGGCGUGCCUAACACAUGCAAGUCGAGCGAGAGACUUCGGUCUCUAGCGGCGGACGGGUGAGUAACACGUGGGUAACCUGCCUCAUAGAGGGGGAUAGCCUCCCGAAAGGGAGAUUAAUACCGCAUAACAUCAUGCUUUCGCAUGGAAGUAUGAUCAAAGGAGCAAUCCGCUAUGAGAUGGACCCGCGGCGCAUUAGCUAGUUGGUGAGGUAAAGGCUCACCAAGGCGACGAUGCGUAGCCGACCUGAGAGGGUGAUCGGCCACAUUGGAACUGAGACACGGUCCAGACUCCUACGGGAGGCAGCAGUGGGGAAUAUUGCACAAUGGGCGAAAGCCUGAUGCAGCAACGCCGCGUGAGUGAUGAAGGCCUUCGGGUUGUAAAGCUCUGUCUUUUGGGACGAUAAUGACGGUACCAAAGGAGGAAGCCACGGCUAACUACGUGCCAGCAGCCGCGGUAAUACGUAGGUGGCAAGCGUUGUCCGGAUUUACUGGGCGUAAAGGAUGCGUAGGUGGAUAUUUAAGUGGGAUGUGAAAUACCCGGGCUUAACCUGGGUGCUGCAUUCCAAACUGGAUAUCUAGAGUGCAGGAGAGGUAAGUGGAAUUCCUAGUGUAGCGGUGAAAUGCGUAGAGAUUAGGAAGAACACCAGUGGCGAAGGCGACUUACUGGACUGUAACUGACACUGAGGCAUGAAAGCGUGGGGAGCAAACAGGAUUAGAUACCCUGGUAGUCCACGCCGUAAACUAUGGGUACUAGGUGUGGGAGGUAUCGACCCCUUCCGUGCCGCCGUUAACACAAUAAGUACCCCGCCUGGGGAGUACGGUCGCAAGAUUAAAACUCAAAGGAAUUGACGG